rnacentral:rRNA from 1 species
GGCGAUCAGAUACCGCCCUAGUUCUGACCGUAAACGAUGCCAACUAGCGAUCCGCCGGCGGAUUCAUUCGCCCUGGUGGGGAGCUUCCCGGAAACGAAAGUCUUCCGGUUCCGGGGGAAGUAUGGUUGCAAAGCUGAAACUUAAAGGAAUUGACGGAAGGGCACCACCAGGAGUGGAGCCUGCGGCUUAAUUUGACUCAACACGGGGAAACUCACCCGGCCCGGACACCGUAAGGAUUGACAGAUUGAUAGCUUUUUCAUGAUUCGGUGGAUGGUGGUGCAUGGCCGUUCUUAGUUCGUGGAGCGAUUUGUCUGGUUUAUUCCGAUAACGAGCGAGGCUCUGGCCUACUAAAUAGUUGGCACAUUGCCACUGUGUGCACAACUUCUUAGAGGGAUUUUCGGUGUUCAGCCGCACGAAAUUGAGCAAUAACAGGUCUGUGAUGCCCUUAGAUGUCCGGGGCUGCACGCGCGCUACACUGGCAAAAUCAGCGUGCUUGUCCUCCCCCGAAAGGGGUUGUGUAAACCGAUGAAAAUUUGCCGUGAUUGGGAUCGGACAUUGCAAUUAUUGUCCGUGAACGAGGAAUCCCUUGUAAGGGCGAGUCAUCAACUCGUCCUGAAUACGUCCCUGCCCUUGUA